CUACACUAGGGCCAUUAAUUCUCACAUCCGUUUUUACGAUAUACCUAGGUAGCAAUUUAGUUUAUUUGACUGCGCGCAAUGUCUGCUCGCAUCGGCGUCACCUUUAGCUCCCCAAAACCGACAAAGUGGUUAUACAAGGAGACUUCCGUUCAGUAUACCCAAGUUAAUACUUGAUGGCUUAACUUUGCAGAAAAUUAUGUUACACAUAUUAUAUAUAAACUCGUGUUUAACUCUGGUGUACACACCUGCUUUUAAUGCCAUUCACCC